AUAUGGUGCGGACGCCCAACGCUUUGUGAUACACUUUCGAAGAGUCGAGUUGUUUGGGAAUGCAGCUCAAAUUGGGUGGUAAAUUCCAUCUAAAGCUAAAUAUUGGCGAGAGACCGAUAGCGAACAAGUACCGUGAGGGAAAGAUGAAAAGCACUUUGGAAAGAGAGUUAACAGUACGUGAAAUUGUUGGAAGGGAAACGCUUGAAGUCAGACUUGCUUGCCGAGCAAUCGGUUUGCAGGCCAGCAUCAGUUUUCCGGGGUGGAUAAUGGUAGAGAGAAGGUAGCAUUUUCGGCUGUGUUAUAGCUCUUUGCUGGAUACACCUUGGGGGACUGAGGAACGCAGUGUGCCUUACGGCGGAUUUCUCGAGAUCUUCACACUUAGGAUGCUGGUGGAAUGGCUUUAAUCGACCCGUCUUGAAACACAGGACCACCGCUGCCGUCUUUGCGGAGGGAAGACAGACCUCCCUGUUUC
rnacentral:rRNA from 1 species